CCCAUCCUCUACGAGGCCCUACAACUGCAAUCCAGAUCUUACUAGUCCGAUCUACCAGACUCUUGCACGCCGCCUCCCACCGCCGUGACCCUCUCCUCCCCCGCACUUCAUCCCCAUCGUCCGCCCUCAUCGUCGUCUCGAGAGGAAUAUGACGGUCCUCAUCGUUGGCCAUCUAAGCGGCGGAUCGGCAUGCCUGUCACUCCUUGGACACCGGAUGUACUGAAGGGGUCGCUGCACCAGCACUCCAGCAGCCGUUAGAUUCCACGCCGGUGUAACCAGGCAAUACAGGUAGGAAGAUGCUCCUGAUAUUGGUGUUUCUCUAAUCUGUACGGGCAGGAUGACGCAGCAGGGCUAGGUGUGGUGGAUCUAUACUGCUUCUAACGGAGGUUUGAUUAAUAGUAGUGAUGUUCGGUUUGAAACAACACUGGUGAUUUUGGUUUACUUAAGCAAUACACGAUCUGUCCAUCAUGUUGUAACCUGUUUGAUACUGGUUUUAGUCUGUGAUCUGCUGGAGCAGGUGUGAUUUUUUUUUCCAUUCUGAUCCCUAAUCAAUUGAAUCAGUUCUUUGUCCUACAGCAAGAAGAAUAUUUGGGUAUAAUCCCCGCAUGUGUACUGGACGAACUUAACAUCACGCGUUGGAGAUUUAGGUCUGGUAGUAACUAUGGGAGACGUGGAAUUAUGUGAUUGUUUGACUUGCAUAUUUUGUGCCUAUGUGAUGUGGUUCAAGUUGCCAAUUCAUUGCUACUUUUAGCUAAUCUAUUGUGUUGUAUUACCCCUCUUAGGUUUCUUGUCCUCACGUAUGGAUAAUUGAAGCCAGAAAGAACCGAUUGUAAUCUGAAGACAUGCGGGAAGGACUAGAGGUUUCCUGGUCUACUAUUAUGAUUGUGUGAUCCAUUCCUCACCCUGUAGUAGAUGACUGAAGCCGGUUGGAGCUAGGCAGGCCACCAGCAAGUGAAGCAUUACUUGUGCUAUAUCCUAAUGUGAGGUAAAUUUAAAAAGACUACUGUAUGGUCAACAUCUAUAUAUCAAGAAUCCAACGAGGAGGAGGCAUGGAGAAGGCAAACGAAUGAUUUCACUUUAUUUCUUAGGUUUUGUUUGAUUAAAAAAUGUGUCCUGGGGCAUAUGGAUAGCUAGAUGAAUUAGCGUUCAAUGUUCUUUUUCUAUCAGGUUGAUGUAUGUAACUCAGAUUGUGUUUUUGAAUUUCACUGAAUAAAGCUUUAUGAUUUAUUUAUAA